rnacentral:rRNA from 1 species
UGACCUGCCCUCUACUCUGGGAUAAGCCUGGGAAACUGGGUCUAAUACCGGAUAUGACCUGCUGUCGCAUGAUGGUGGGUGGAAAGCCAGUUGCUUUUGUUUCUGGUGGUGGGGGAUGGGCCCGCGGCCUAUCAGCUUGUUGGUGGGGUGAUGGCCUACCAAGGCGACGACGGGUAGCCGGCCUGAGAGGGCGACCGGCCACACUGGGACUGAGACACGGCCCAG